CUAUACCAAUCUGAACACAGUCAAUUUCAUCUGAUUUUGGAAGCUAGGCAGGGUUAGCCUAGAAUGGUACUUGUAUGGGAGACCACCAGGGAACACCAAGAAACCAAAAGC
rnacentral:rRNA from 1 species